UGGGGCGUCGUCUAAUGGCAGGACAACGGGUUUUGGACCCGCGAACGGUGGUUCGAGUCCAUCCGCCCCAG
rnacentral:tRNA from 1 species